GUAGGGUGCGAGCGUUAAUCGGAAUUACUGGGCGUAAAGCGUGCGCAGGCGGUUAUAUAAGACAGAUGUGAAAUCCCCGGGCUCAACCUGGGACCUGCAUUUGUGACUGUAUAGCUAGAGUACGGUAGAGGGGGAUGGAAUUCCGCGUGUAGCAGUGAAAUGCGUAGAUAUGCGGAGGAACACCGAUGGCGAAGGCAAUCCCCUGGACCUGUACUGACGCUCAUGCACGAAAGCGUGGGGAGCAAACAGGAUUAGAUACCCUGGUAGUCCACGCCCUAAACGAUGUCAACUGGUUGUUGGGUCUUCACUGACUCAGUAACGAAGCUAACGCGUGAAGUUGACCGCCUGGGGAGUACGGCCGCAAGGUUG
rnacentral:rRNA from 1 species